AUUUAAAUAGCUUAAAAAGAGCAUAAUAUUGAAGUUAUUAGAGUGACAUAAAUGUCUUUAAAUA
rnacentral:tRNA from 1 species